rnacentral:rRNA from 1 species
UAGGGAAUCUUCCGCAAUGGGCGAAAGCCUGACGGAGCAACGCCGCGUGAGUGAUGAAGGUCUUCGGAUCGUAAAACUCUGUUAUUAGGGAAGAACAAAUGUGUAAGUAACUAUGCACGUCUUGACGGUACCUAAUCAGAAAGCCACGGCUAACUACGUGCCAGCAGCCGCGGUAAUACGUAGGUGGCAAGCGUUAUCCGGAAUUAUUGGGCGUAAAGCGCGCGUAGGCGGUUUUUUAAGUCUGAUGUGAAAGCCCACGGCUCAACCGUGGAGGGUCAUUGGAAACUGGAAAACUUGAGUGCAGAAGAGGAAAGUGGAAUUCCAUGUGUAGCGGUGAAAUGCGCAGAGAUAUGGAGGAACACCAGUGGCGAAAGCGGCUCUCUGGUCUGUAACUGACGCUGAGGCUCGAAAGCGUGGGGAGCGAACAGG